rnacentral:rRNA from 1 species
GACGAACGCUGGCGGCGUGCUUAACACAUGCAAGUCGAACGGAAAGGCCCUGCUUUUGUGGGGUGCUCGAGUGGCGAACGGGUGAGUAACACGUGAGUAACCUGCCCUUGACUUUGGGAUAACUUCAGGAAACUGGGGCUAAUACCGGAUAGGAGCUCCUGCUGCAUGGUGGGGGUUGGAAAGUUUCGGCGGUUGGGGAUGGACUCGCGGCUUAUCAGCUUGUUGGUGGGGUAGUGGCUUACCAAGGCUUUGACGGGUAGCCGGCCUGAGAGGGUGACCGGCCACAAUGGGACUGAGAUACGGACCAGACUCCUACGGGAGGCAGCAGGGGGGAAUAUUGCAGAAUGGGCGGAAGCCUGAUGCAGCAACGCCGCGUGCGGGAUGACGGGCUUCGGGUUGUAAACCGCUUUCGCCUGUGACGAAGCGUGAGUGACGGUAAUGGGUAAAGAAGCACCGGCUAACUACGUG